UACGUAGGGCGCAAGCGUUGUCCGGAAUUAUUGGGCGUAAAGGGCGCGUAGGCGGCCUGGCAAGUGGAAGGUGAAAUCCCUCGGCUUAACCGAGGAACUGCCCUCCAAACUGCUUGGCUUGAGUCCGGGAGAGGUGAGUGGAAUUCCCAGUGUAGCGGUGAAAUGCGUAGAUAUUGGGAGGAACACCAGUGGCGAAGGCGGCUCACUGGACCGGAACUGACGCUGAGGCGCGAAAGCGUGGGGAGCAAACAGG
rnacentral:rRNA from 1 species